rnacentral:rRNA from 1 species
AUUUUGACUAUACAAAGGUAUUGAAAUAAGACUUUAAUUGAGUGCUAAGAGAAUGGAUUAACAAAAAAAUUCUUUUUUAAUUUUAAAAAUUAAAGUUAUUUUUGUUAGUGAAGAAACUACAAUAAAAAUUAAGGACAAGAAGACCCUAAGAAUUUUUAAUAAUUUUGUUAUAAUAAAUAAUAAAAAUUAUUUUAAUUGGGGCGAUUAACAAAAAUAAAAAACUUUGUUUUUUUAAAAAAGAACCACUAUUAUUGGUCUUAUGAAAAAAAUACUCUAGGGAUAACAGCGUAAUAAUUUUUAAUAGUUCAUAUAGACAAAAUAGUUUGCGACCUCGAUGUUGGAUUAGGAUUCUUAACUAAUGAAGAAGUUAGUUAAAGAAGUUUGUUCAACUUUUAAAUUCCUACUUG